UAGGAAGGAAUGCAGACUAAGACCGCCACGUCCUGUGGCAACGUCUGCAUAACCCGCUUCCUGCGGG
rnacentral:sRNA from 1 species